GAGUGGCGGACGGGUGAGUAACGCGUGGAUAACCUGCCUCACACUGGGGGAUAACAGUUAGAAAUGACUGCUAAUACCGCAUAAGCGCACAGUGCCGCAUGGCAGUGUGUGAAAAACUCCGGUGGUGUGAGAUGGAUCCGCGUCUGAUUAGCCAGUUGGCGGGGUAACGGCCCACCAAAGCGACGAUCAGUAGCCGACCUGAGAGGGUGACCGGCCACAUUGGGACUGAGACACGGCCCAAACUCCUACGGGAGGCAGCAGUGGGGAAUAUUGCCCAAUGGGCGAAAGCCUGAUGCAGCGACGCCGCGUGAGUGAAGAAGUAUUUCGGUAUGUAAAGCUCUAUCAGCAGGGAAGAAAAUGACGGUACCUGACUAAGAAGCCCCGGCUAACUACGUGCCAGCAGCCGCGGUAAUACGUAGGGGGCAAGCGUUAUCCGGAUUUACUGGGUGUAAAGGGAGCGUAGACGGCGAAGCAAGUCUGAAGUGAAAACCCAGGGCUCAACCCUGGGACUGCUUUGGAAACUGUUUUGCUAGAGUGUCGGAGAGGUAAGUGGAAUUCCUAGUGUAGCGGUGAAAUGCGUAGAUAUUAGGAGGAACACCAGUGGCGAAGGCGGCUUACUGGACGAUAACUGACGUUGAGGCUCGAAAGCGUGGGGAGCAAACAGGAUUAGAUACCCUGGUAGUCCACGCCGUAAACGAUGAAUGCUAGGUGUUGGGGGGCAAAGCCCUUCGGUGCCGCCGCAAACGCAGUAAGCAUUCCACCUGGGGAGUACGUUCGCAAGAAUGAAACUCAAAGGAAUUGACGGGGNACCCGCACAAGCGGUGGAGCAUGUGGUUUUAAUUCGAAGCAACGCGAAGAACCUUACCAAGUCUUGACAUCCCCCUGACGGGCCGGUAACGCGGCCUUUCCUUCGGGACAGGGGAGACAGGUGGUUGCAUGUUUGUCNUUCAGCUCGUGUCGUGAGAUGUUGGGUUNAAGUCCCGCAACGAGCGCAACCCUUAUCCUUAUUAGCCAGCACGUGAAGGUGGGCACUCUAGGGAGACUGCCCGGGAUAACUUGGAGGAAGGUGGGGAUGACGUCAAAUCAUCAUGCCCCUUAUGAUUUGGGCUACACACGUGCUACAAUGGCGUAAACAAAGGGAAGCGAGACAGUGAUGUGGAGCAAAUCCCAAAAAUAACGUCCCAGUUCGGACUGUAGUCUGCAACCCGACUACACGAAGCUGGAAUCGCUAGUAAUCGCGAAUCAGAAUGUCGCGGUGAAUACGUUCCCGGGUCUUGUACACACCGCCCGUCACACCAUGGGAGUCAGCAACGCCCGAAGUCAGUGACCCAACCGAAAGGAGGAGCUGCCGAGG
rnacentral:rRNA from 1 species